GCAUGGGGAGGUGGAUCUGCAGAGUAGUAGUGAGUGAGUGAGUGAGUGACGGUCUCACCAGUUUCACACUGUCCAAAAAAAAUAACCCACUCAGGGUCUUCUGAGCAACUGCACCCCCCCCCUUCGCCGACCCCUCACUAAAUCCACGAGUAUAACAUGAUGCUGAAAAAAGGACUUUUUAAAAUUCUUUCAAAGUGUUACACCUUAGGUGUUUCUUUCAAAAAAAAAUUUAAACUUUGUCCAAAAAGUCAUUUUUUUGGGGGGAGACGCGAGGAGAGGGGAAACCCUACAUUAAAUACAAUACCAUACUUCAGCAGACCCAGGGUCCCCUCUUCAAAUUGCAAGGGUUAAUUUCCCUUUUUUUCUGAACAUCUAAUUGCUUCGCCCGUAAACAAUCCGCUCCGGAACAUUGAAACAUCCAAUGGUGGCUUCUUUUGACUUAGAAACAGAAAAUCAGAAUAAGACACCAUUUGUUUUAAAAAACAAAAAUUGCAGAAUGAAAAUCUGAUUCUUGCCAUCGACACAGUUGCGACGGACUCCCCUCACAGAGAUCGGAAAAUGAUUCCAGAUUCACGCUGGGCACCCACAGCUAUCAUAAACCUUGCUACAAAGUUAGAUUCACCGUCAAUACAGUUGACAAUGACCCGCCUCGCGGAUUGACCGUACAAACUCACCAGGAUGUAUUUUGUUUUGGAUGUGAGAGCGGUUUGCAACAGCCCUCUCUCGUUAUGUAUCUUUUUUUUUGCACGUUGCUUUUUCGAGACGGAUUAUACUAUCGGGUCUCUCCAAAGUGAUGGUGAUACUUAAUGGCAUCUUCAAUUCCUGCAGGUCAAGGUCCUACAUCUGGAGGGGGCACAAAGAAAGCAAGUUGCACGCAGCUGUCAGUAGCAAUUUUCUUGUUAGUGUUUAGCUGUUCUGACACUGGUUGAUGCAAAUAUUUCUCCGUUGUCGGUAUCAGUGAGAAAAGGAAGCUCGGCAGAAGUUGCACUGAAAUUGGAAUGCUGUUUUGAAGUAUCAAGUUCUGCAAAGAGCUCAGUGAAUUUCUACAGUAAAGUAGCAGCUGAAAGUCAGUCACAAUAGUAUGAUAUUUAUGGAAGAACAUCAAAGGCAUUUAUAAUGUAAUUAUUGCAGGUUUACGGUGAGAUAAUCUACAACUGAUUACACAAGAUCCUGACAUUCAUUAUAUGUACUGUAACAUGGUCAUUUGUCACAUACAUAUAUUACAAUAGAAACAUUAAAUGAGCCCAAUAGAAAUCAUGAUUUAUAUUAUACAUUCUGUUAUCCUUUUUAGAGGCAGGGAUUAUAAAACCUACCAUCUAUUGUUAAAUGGCAAUAGCAAAAACCAUGGAUAAAAUAUUUUAGUUGGCCAAGACUGUUUCAGAAGUCUAACGUAGUCAAAAUAAAAAGAAAGCACACUGGAUGAUAAAUAUGUGGAGUGAUGUAGCACAGGAAUGAGUCUAACACAGUAAGACCUGGGCAAUAUUCAGGCUUGGUCUGAUAAGUGAUCAGUAACAGUGCACCACACAAUUGUUUGGUCAAUGACCAUCUCCAGCAUGAGAGAAUCUAAUCAUCUCCCCUUGACAUUCAAUGGCAUUAUCACUGCUGCAUAACCCAUUAAUGACAUCCUGUGGAUCAAACAGCAACUUAACCGAACCUGCUCGAUAAAUGCUAUGAUUACAAGAAGGGGGGAGAUAAUGCAUUCUGCUAAUGUCACUGCUCUCAUUUCAAUCCCACCAAGGUAGCUGAUGAAAUUCAAAUUCAGUUAAUAACUCUGGAUGUGAUGGUGAAAUUGUAGCAAAACUCCAUCUGAUUCACUGGUAACCUUUUGGGAAAAGAAAUCUACAAUUCUUACCUAGCCUGGUCAGGCCUCCAUGUGACUCCAUACCUACAACAAGUGGUUGACUAACUGUGCUCUGAACUGUCCAGAAAGCCACUCAGUUCAAAGGUAAUUAGGACUGGGCAACAAGUGCUGGACUUGCCAGUGAUGUCCACAUCCAAUGAAAGAAUAAAAGAAAACAAAAAGGUGUAGGUUAGAGGCACAAGGCGUCAGGAGUCAACCUCUCCACUUGCUUGGAUGGGGCAAAUCCUAUAACACUCAAAAUGGUCAGCACCAUCCUGGAUAAAGCAGCCCAUUUAUCACCUUAAACUGCCUCCACCACCAUCUCUAAGAUGCACUGCAGCAAGUCACCAUGCAUCCUUAAACUGUACAUUGGAAACCGAUUACCACUACAAUCUCGAAGAACAAGGACAGCAAGGUUCCAUCCAGGCCACUCACCAUCCUGACGUAGAAAUAUACCAUUGUUCCUUCA